GUGAAAUCCUCCGGAGCCUCGCCCACCGAGAGCGCCUCGGGCGGCCCACGGGUUCCCUGGCUGCAGACCGCUUGCUGGGCGCUUUGUGCGGUUCUGGUCACUCCGAGCGGACCCAGAAAACCUGAAAGGCCAUGAUGGCUACGAAGCCCAAACUCCACUAUCCAAAUGGACGAGGCCGCAUGGAAUCCGUGCGAUGGGUUUUAGCUGCCGCUGGAGUCGAGUUUGAUGAAGACUUUUUAGAAACAAAAGAACAGUUGCAGAAGUUGCAGGAUGGUAACCACCUGCUGUUCCAACAAGUGCCAAUGGUUGAAAUUGAUGGGAUGAAGCUAGUGCAGACCCGGAGCAUCCUCCACUAUAUAGCAGACAAGCACCAUCUCUUCGGCAAAGAUCUCAAGGAGAGAACCCUGAUUGACAUGUAUGUGGAGGGGACCCUGGAUCUUCUGGAACUGAUUAUCAUGCAUCCUUUCCUCAAACCAGACGAUCAGCAAAAGGAAGUGGUGAACAUGGCCCAGAAGGCUAUAAUCAGAUACUUUCCUGUGUUCGAAAAGGUUUUACGGGGUCAUGGACAAAGGUUUCUUGUUGGUAAUCAGCUGAGCCUUGCAGACAUAAUUCUACUCCAGACCAUUUUGGCUCUAGAAGAGAAAAUUCCUAAUAUCCUGUCUGCGUUUCCUCACCUCCAGGAGUUCACAGUGAAAAUAAGUAAUAUCCCUACAAUUAAGAAAUUCCUUGAACCUGGCAGCAAGAGGAAGCCUCCCCCGGAUGACAUCUACGUGAGGACCGUGUACAACAUCUUCAUGCCGUAGGACAGCAGCACGGCUUUGGAAAGAACACAGGCAUCACCCACUCUGUGCCAGGUGCCUAACGGGUAAACUCAACCUCCUGCCUUCGUCGGAUGCUUGGAAGAUUCCGUCCAAAUGAUGUGACACUGGGGUCUUCCUCUGGGGUCCUGCCUCCCCAGGGGAUGGCACCAACUUGAAAGCAGGAGUAUCUAAGUCAAGUCCAGGCACAGAUUUUUCUAGGACUUGCUCCAGUCUUGAAACAGCAGUGGGCCAUGUAGUGGUUCACUUUGUUUAUUCUCCAAGCAACGUGGGGUGAAGUCUCCUUCUCGGCUCAGCUGUAUUUUUCAUUUAAGGCUCUCCACAGAAGAGGCUUAUUAGCAUGUGAGCUUGGAACAGAACUACCUCCCUAACCAUCCUAUUACAUAAGAGCACAGGGCGAAUGAAUACAAGGGAAGAGAAAUAAGACCAGAAAGAUUGUUAAAACUGGAGGAGACGAAGAUGAUCUAAUUCUGAACCAACUCCUCAUUUUAGAGUUGAGGAAACUGACAUCUCUUCCAGACCUGCCCAAGGCUGGAACCUACACACCUGGUACUUGGUUAAACCUGGGGAUUGGAGGAGUCCUCGCAUCUUACGAAUUCUUCUUUUAAAGGGGGUCAAUAUAAAUGAUCCAACAUCGGAAACGUACUUAUAAUUCUCCCUAAUUCCUCUCCCCUUCCCUUUCUCUGUUCUUAGCCUCAUACACUCCUGCACAUCACAAUUUGCUCAGCCUGCUUUUUUGUUUUAGUUAAUUUAUUUUAUUUUAUUAUUUUUUGGCUGUGUUGGGUCUUCGUUGCUGUGCGAGGGCUCUCUGUAGUUGUGGUGAGUAGGGACUACUCUUCGUUGCAGUGCGCGGGCUUCUUAUUGCGGUGACUUCUCUUGUUGCAGAGCACGGGCUCUAGGUUGCACGGGCUUCAGUAGUUGUGGCACGUGGGCCCAGUUGCUCCGCAGCAUGUGGGAUCUUCCCGGACCAGGGCUCGAACCCGUGUCCCCUACAUUGGCAGGCGGAUUCUUAACCACCGCACCACCAGGGAAGUCCAUCAGCCUGCUUUUUAAACAUCAGAUUCUGCACUUCGUGCCUGCCCAGCAGACCCUGGGAGGACCUGGGGCCACACACUGAGCCCCAGGUGUAGUUUAGUUGGGUUCUCACUCUAGACCUGGUUUCUCAAACUCGAUUUUAGUUACAGGCACACCUUGUUUUAUUGUGCUCCGCAUAUACUGCGCUUUUUACAAAUGGAUGUUUUGAGACAACACUGCUUCAAGCAAGUGUCUCAGCAUCAUUUUUCCAAUCAGCAUUUGCUCACUUUGUGUCUCUGUGCUGCAUUUUGGUAAUUCUUGGGGUAUUUCGAAACUUUUCAUUAUUAUUCUAUUUGUUAUGGUGAUCAGUGAUCUUUGAUGUUACUACUGCAAGAAGAUUAUGACUUGCUGAAGGUUCAGGUGAUGGCCAGAAUUUUUUUUUAGCAAUAGUGUUUUCUAAUUAAUAUAUGUACAUUGUUUUUUUAGACAUAAUGCUAUUUCACACUUAAUAGACUACAGUAUAGUAUGAACAUAACUUUUACAGGCACUGGGAAACCAAAAAAAGGUCAAGUGACUCGCUUUAUUGCAGUAUUCACUUUAUUGCUGUGGUCUGGAACUGAACCCACAAUUUCUCUGAGAUCUGCCUGUGUACAAGUGAAUCACCUGGGGAGCUUGUGAAAAAUGCAGACUCUGAUUCAGUAGAUCUGGCCCAGGGACUGAGAUUCUACAUUUCUAACAAGUUCCCAGGUACAGCUGGUGCUGCUGGUCCAAAAUCACACUUCUAGAGAAUGCCUUCAGCUCCUUUUUGAAGCAAAAUUGACUUUUUUCUCACAUGUGACUAUUGCUGCAAUCUGGAGAUACAGAUAGGUGAGUGUGUGUUUGUGUGUGUGUGUGUGUGUGUGCGCGCGCGUGCCAUUUUUUGAUUCCUUACUAUGUUCAGCAAUUUGCACACAUCACAUUUCCAUCACUAAACAAAUGAAUUAGGAACUAUGAGGAAACUGAGGCUGAGAGAGGUUAAAAAAACUUGCUCAAAUGAGAGGGAGAGCUGAAAUUUGGAUGUAGGUCUUUGAUUUUCCUGCUACCCAGAGCCUAACUCAGAUAACGUGUUCUUCCACAUUUUCUAAAAGAUAUUUAAAAUUUUUUAUUUUAUCUGCUCAAAUUUUUGCCCACUGGUUUGUUUUUUUUUUUUUUGGCCCACUGUUUUAAUUGUUGAUUUUUGUUUUUAUUAUUGAUAUUUAAGAGUUCUUCAUAUAUUCUGGAUGAGUCCCUUUAUCAGAUAUGCUUUACAAAUAAUUUCUCCCAAUAUUUGGCUUGCCUUUUCUUUUUCUUAAAAAUGCCUUUUAAGGAGCAAAGUUUUAAAUACUGAUAAGUGCAUUUUUUAAAGUUGUGGCUUAUGCUUUCUAUUUUUUAUCAAAUAAAUCAUUGCUUACUUUAUGGUCACAAAAAAAAAAGGAAAAGAAAAAAAAAAGAUUUAGGGCAUGUUUGUUACCCAAGGACCACACUCCCACAAUCCAAAGGUUUUCAUGCCAUUAUGGCUGCUUUCUGUCCACCUUGCCUUGGGCACCUGGGGCUCUGGGUGGGGCCAUGCAUACCCCUGCUCAUCUCAGGUAAAGCUGCACCCAGGUGAAGUUCGACAGCCUUCAGAGGUGGGGGUCUCAUUUUCCAAGGUCUAAAGUUUCAUGCGCGGAGCCUAUUUGGAGAACCAGGUGUGUUUAAUUCAGGACAAACCUGUCUGUCAAGGUCAGUACAAAAAGCAGAGUUGAAGAGGUGGGCGUGAGUUUAGACUCAGCUUGACCCCCUGGGUUCUGGUUCUUCUAGCAGCUGUGUUCUCAGAGUGUUUGCCUUUUGGGUGAAAUCCAGAAAAAACUCCUUUGUUCCCGGCUCUUCGUUUCCCACGGGCAGAAUGAAUAUUUCCGUUGCACCUGUUCUUUUAAGCUUUGACAAUGUACUUUUUUUAACAGCGAGAAUUGGGUUUACUUUUUGAAGCAUAAACUUGGUCCUCUGUAUUACCAAGCUGUGGUUUAUCCUAAUCUUUGUUUAAAUUCAUUAGAGGUCAAGGAAAAAGGACUAAAGGACUUGGUUUAGGCCCUUAACCUAUUAUGCCAUGGGGCAGGGAAGGGAGGGGCUGAAAUAACCAAACAUAUUUAUAUAUAUCUAUUCUGUAAUACAUACCUAUUCCUGUAAUACUAUAUUAUGCUUUUAUUAAACACUUAUUUCAUUCUGA